UACGAACUGUGCAAACGUUAUUCGGAAUCACUGGGCUUACAGGGUGCGUAGGCGGCCUGUCAAGUAGGGUGUGAAAGCCCCCGGCUCAACCGGGGAAUGGCGCCCUAAACUGUCGGGCUGGAGUGAGAUAGGGGUGUGCGGAACUUCCGGUGGAGCGGUGAAAUGUGUUGAUAUCGGAAGGAACGCCGGUGGCGAAAGCGGCACACUGGAUCUCAACUGACGCUGAGGAGCGAAAGCGUGGGGAGCAAACAGG
rnacentral:rRNA from 1 species